CAGUGCCGUGGAGGAGGCUUUCCACAACCUCUAGCUCAGGAAGCAUGGGAACCAAGAGAUCUCCCUUCCCGCGGACAAUGUUGCCCCAGAAGCACACUGCAAACUCCCACCUGCUCCCAGUGAAGAAACUGCUUGCUCUCCUGGAGGCCUCCUGGGGAUCAGCCAGCUGCUCACUUCCUCCUCACCUGCCCUCAACCUCCAUCGACCUAGCCUCCCGUGGCUUCACAGCUAAGCACCUCCAACUCAGGAAGAAAGAAAUGAAACUCGCUCACGGGCAAGCAGCCUUUCCUCUAUAACCUCAGCGCCCGGGUCACAGAUCAUACCCCUGAGCCUGGCCAGUUGUCUCACUCAUGUGCGUCACAAGAGGCCUGGGGCCAGAAAGCACAGAUAGCCCAAUACAGCCACAGCUUCAAUCUGAAACAAACAACUCAAAGGGCACGUCCGGCAACGAGCAGAGCCCCACCAGAGGCAGGCAUAAUUGCAGGCACUAAAUUAGCACGGUCUCUCAGCCAGGGACUAAUCUAAGCCAGACCUGGUGCAAUGUCAGGCCAUGAGUACAUCACAAUUACCAUUAAAAAGGAAAGAGAAAAUUU